CCUACGGGUGGCUGCAGUGAGGAAUAUUGGUCAAUGGGAGAGAUCCUGAACCAGCCAAGCCGCGUGAGGGAAGACGGCCCUAUGGGUUGUAAACCGCUUUUAUCGGAGAACAAAACGCGUUACGAGUCCCGCACUGCGUGUAUCCGAUGAAAAAGCACCGGCUAACUCCGUGCCAGCAGCCGCGGUAAUACGGAGGAUGCGGGCGUUAUCCGGAUUUAUUGGGUUUAAAGGGGGCGUAGGCCGUAUGUUAAGCGUGCGGGGAAAUUUCCGGGCCCAACCCCGGCCGAGCAGCGGGAACUGGCGGGCUUGAGUCGGCGGAAAGCACGCGGAAUGCGGGGUGUAGCGGUGAAAUGCUUAGAUAUGGCGCAGAACUCCGAUUGCGAAGGCAGCGUGCCGGAGCGAGACUGACGCUGAGGCUCGAAAGCGUGGGGAUCGAACAGGAUUAGAUACCCGGGUAGUC
rnacentral:rRNA from 1 species